rnacentral:sRNA from 1 species
CGGCACAUACAUACGCCUUACAUUCUACUUUAUAGUAUAGAUUGGUACUCAAAUUGUGACAUCUCAUUGCAUUAUAUUUUUUUAAACAUACAAAUGGUACUUAAGGCAAAGAACCAAUAAAAUCUAGCGUAACUGACUUAAACAUCUUCAGAUCAUAUAAUGCUUGUAUUUUGAACAGCACUAAAUAUGUCUUUCUGGGCUGAACUGUGCUCAUCUCUAAAUUUGGUGAAUUGUGUCUACCUGUUACUAAGUGUAUUUUAUUAAUAUUACUUACAUAUUUAUCCAGAUGAUGAGUAAACCUUCAGCAAUUGCCAUUGAGCCUCUUGCUGACCACAAAGCGGCUAUUCUUACCCUAUUUAUACAACUACCAACUGGUGAUGCUGAGUUUGCUCCUUGUGGACAGUCUGGCCUUGCAGUUGGUAGUGCAUUUGUUGCUAUAGGUUCACAUCGUAAACAGAGUCUUGAACAUGCCAAAGGAGAUAAGCCAAAAAUUAGGAAAAAUCUUAUGUAUAAUCAUCCUGACACAUGUGCAUGAUUGAAAGCUGUUUUUUUCUUUCUGUUGAACUCAAAGCGAAAGAAAUAAGUGGCUGUGUUUUAUAGGCCAUAGCAUUAGUGCAAUUUGGUUAUAUGUUCAUUGUUAGUCAAACAUUUGGGAGUAAGAGACAGCUUGUUUGUCAAAUAUUUGGGAGUAACAGACAGCUUGUUUGUCAAACUUUUGGGAGUAACAGACAGCUUGUUUGUCAAACAUUUGGAAGUAAAUGACAGCUUAUUUGUUACAUCUUUUGUCUUUCAUAAAGCUAUAAAUAAGUUUGGAUGGAACUGUAGAUCAAGAAAUGUAUUAUUUAUUGUUUUGUAAUAUUCUCAGCCAUGUAUUAGUGUGUAUGUCUAUUGUUUGGUUGAAAUUGAAUUUCCCAAAUUUGGUCAUUAUCUAUGACAUACUUAGUGUACGUUUUUCUCUUUGAUUGAUUGUAAAACUACAAUCACAAUUUCAAAAGUUCAAAUAGAACUAAGUGACUUAGCUAUUGUUAGUUACCUGUGUUGUGACCAGGUAUCAGUCAAAUAGCUUUAAACCUGACUUUGUGAUUAUCUUGCUGUCAGUCAUUUAACUUUAAAUCACUUUUUUCAUUAGAAAAAAAGUUGAAGCAUUUCUCCUUGUAAUAAAGACUCAUACAUCUGGGUCAAAAUAACAUCCAAUCCAGAACAAAAAAUAAAAAUUUUCAUAAGAUAUUUUAUUGAAAAAGAAACAGGUUUAUACUGGUCACUAGAAACUGGUUGUCGAGGUUGAGACAGACCAAUAAAAUUGAUUUUGUAUGUAUGUGGUUUGCUAUUUAUAGAUAACAAAACACAAUUUCAGAUGUUAAAUUCCCCUAACUUUUGAUGAUACAUUCAGUUUUGUUUUGGGCUUAAUGUGUUUGCUUUUUUUUGGUUUGAUGUUUGGUGGGCUAUAUGGCAGAGAACUUAGGGGCUCAACCUCAACUAGAGCUGAAUUGUGUUUGCUGAGUUCCAACAGCAACUUUAAAAACUUGUCCCCUCAUGACCGCAUACAAUGAUUUUAUGUCAGCAGUAUAUUUUGUGUCCUAAAGAAUUUUGUGUUUCAAUCUAAAGUUUUACAUAUUUUAUCGAAUUGAGAAAUGAUGAAAGCUUGAGGAUACAAGCUGUUACUUGUGUUUCUCUAUUUUUUAAAUCUCAUCAUUUAGUGAAUAAAGAAACAUUUAGAAUGAAAUCAUCAGACCAGAAAGAAUGUAAUACAUUGUUUAGUUUUUCUGAAACAAAAUGCAAUCAAAUAACUAAAAGAGCAUAGAAAAACUUAGAAUUUCAUAAACUACUAGAUGUGAUUGAAAAAAACGGACACUAAUUAAUGCAAAUGCUUUAAGCACCUUCUGCUCCACCAAUUGUAUGUCUUUGCUGAAAAAACAAUCAAUUUCUACAUUCCAGUGUUAACCUGCAAUAUUGAUUUCUUUUGUGUCAGAUAUCAUUCAAUGUCAUUGUUAAAUUUUUUAUUUGUGUUAGACUAAUAUUAUCAAUAACACUGUUCAAAUCUACUGUGAUGGAUGGAUUCUUACUAUCAUUGAGUGAUAGGCUGCUAAACAAAACAUGUAACCUGCAGUUAUCAAAUUGUAGCCUACCUGAUUAUUAUCCUUGUACUAAUCUCAGGAAGUACAAAAUGUGUUAGAUAAAAAAAAACCUGAAGAUAGGGCCACACCAUAAACUGGAUUAGGGACAGUUUUUAUCUACAGAUUUUUUUUAGACAUACACACACACACAUGUAAAUAUUAAUUCCCAUGCCAAGGAGAAUAACUUAAACUAGGAUAACAUAUACUUGUAAGCAUAAUCUUUACAUUGGUGGCUAUUUUUUUUUGUUAAUUCUUUUUCUUCAAGUUAAGCAUUAUUAAAUAGGAGUGAAAAGUUAAUAAACAAAAUAUUUUCAGCUAAAAAUAAAAUUGAAUGAACAGCAUAAAUCAACUCUUCUGGAACUAUUGCUUGUGUAGAAAAUUUGAAGUAAUAAACUUAAUGCUCUGCACAUUAGCCAUUGCAUUAAUCAGUCUGAUAACACAUGUUUGAUCAUUGCAUUAGUCAGCUGUGUUUUUUCAGUGACACAGAUGAAUCUCAGCCUUUUCAGUCCUUUGCAUUUCACUAAUUAAUGUAGUGCCCAUGGGUAACUUAUUCUCAUUGACAAGUUUUGUAGAUUUAAGUGCUUCGCUAGGAUUUUAGUUGUCUAUAAGAAAUAUUCGAUGCAGACACUGUUUCUCAAGUAAUAUUUUUUCUCCAUUAUUGUCUUACAGUAGAUUGUGGAUUCAAUCUUUUUUUUGCAAAAUACAAGGCAGCUUUAGUAAAUCUAGCUACUCAAUUCAUCUUUUUUUGAUUUCCUGCUCUGUACUUUAUCUUCAAAAUAUGAGCACCUGCAUUUCCUAUGCUACCUCUGAGGCUAACCAAUAUCAUAAAAUAAAAACAAUUUAAACAGUUACCAAUCUUUUUCAGUUUUUCCUUUUAGACCUCUGUACAAACUUUAUUGCAUGAAAAAAUAAGUCUUUACCAACACUUGCUUAGGUUUAACAACCCUUAGUCUAUCCAAUCAUUUUGAUAUGCAAAGACUAUUUAGUAAACAGCCUGCAAGCUCUAAUUUUGAAUAAUCAAGUUUGUUUACAUGCCAUGUGAUAAAGAAUUGUACCAUUUCAAAUUUGUUGGAUAUAAAGACUUUUUAGGAAAAUAAGCUUGUUGGAAAAAAAAUAAUAACUUAUUUUCUCUAUUUUUAAAUUAGAAAUGCCAUUUCAAGCUAUUUCUUGUAGGUUUUCCUUUUGGGAAAUAAUUUCAUUGUUGUUGUUAGCCAUAUUCUUCUAUACACUAAGAAUACAAUCAAUCCUUUUAAGUUCAAUAAACUGAAAAUAAAAUAAAGCUAAAACACAAAAGUCAAAAUAUGUGGUAGCCUUUACAUACAUUUGUAUACACAAUCAUGCUUAUAUAAUGUGAAUAGUAAUGUUUUUAUCCUUGAUAAUCAUGUUGUUGUUUGUUUGUUUUUUUGUAAUCUCUUAAUAAGCCUUAGAGAACAAACCCAUCAAAGCUGAAUGUAAACAUUCAUGAAUUGAUUCAUGCAGAUUUUUCUCUUUGAUCAUUGGUUACAAUUAUUCUUCCUCCCUUCAUUUCCCCUCCCCUCAGUGUUUAGUUUCUACAAAGUCUGACUGUCUUCUAUGUUAUUUCAUUUCUGAAGGCUUAGAGUGAUCUUUUAAAUGAGCUUAUAAAUUGUUGACAAUUAUAUCACUGGUAUGCAAAAUGCAAACCAAUGUAAUUCUAUAUUCUUGUCCAGAUAAGAUAUUUUGUGUGUGAUACCUUUCUUUUAUAAAUCUGUUUUAUUUCUUGAUUAUUGUCAUCUAUGUCAUAUGAUUGGAACUGAAAACCAAAUUUAUAUCGCUAGAAUAUUUAUGUUUGAUGUUUUGUACAGAACUAUCAUUUUAUUCUAUUUAAUGUAGUGUACAGAAUUAUUGUCUACUAUUUGAUGUCUUGUACAAAAAUUGUAAGUUAUUCUGUUUAAUGACUUGUACAGAAUCAUUGUAUUAUUCUAUUUAAUGUCUAAAAAAUAUUUUUUAAAGACAUAUUGUUCUAUUCUAUUUGAUAUAUUUCCCAAAACUUUGAAGCCUAUUCAUAAAAAAUAAAGAUGUUAUAUUUGAUACUACUCCACUCAUGACUAUAAAAAUAUUGAAUUAUCCUAUAAUUUUCUGAUUCAACUUAUAAUAAUGUUAAAACUUUGUUACUGGAUCAUCUGAAUAAAAUGUUGGAGAGUAUUUCAAA